rnacentral:rRNA from 1 species
AGUGAACGCUGGCGGUAGGCCUAACACAUGCAAGUCGAACGGCAGCACAGUAAGAGCUUGCUCUUACGGGUGGCGAGUGGCGGACGGGUGAGGAAUACAUCGGAAUCUACUUUUUCGUGGGGGAAAACGUAGGGAAACUAACGCUAAUACCGCAUACGACCUACGGGUGAAAGAAGGGGAUCUUCGGACCUUGCGCGAUUGAAGGAGCCGAUGUCGGAUUAGCUAGUUGGCGGGGUAAAGGCCCACCAAGGCGACGAUCCGUAGCUGGUCUGAGAGGAUGAUCAGCCACACUGGAACUGAGACACGGUCCAGACUCCUACGGGAGGCAGCAGUGGGGAAUAUUGGACAAUGGGCGCAAGCCUGAUCCAGCCAUACCGCGUGGGUGAAGAAGGCCUUCGGGUUGUAAAGCCCUUUUGUUGGGAAAGAAAAGCAGCAGGUUAAUACCCCGCUGUUCUGACGGUACCCAAAGAAUAAGCACCGGCUAACUUCGUG